rnacentral:rRNA from 1 species
AUUGAACGCUGGCGGCAUGCUUUACACAUGCAAGUCGAACGGCAGCGGGGAGGAGCUUGCUUCUCUGCCGGCGAGUGGCGAACGGGUGAGUAAUACAUCGGAACGUGUCGAGAAGAGGGGGAUAACCACCCGAAAGGGUGGCUAAUACCGCAUAAAUUCUGAGGAAGAAAGCUGGGGACCUAGGAAUAGGCCUAGCGCUUUUUGAGCGGCCGAUGUCGGAUUAGCUAGUUGGUGAGGUAAAGGCUCACCAAGGCGAAGAUCUGUAGCGGGUCUGAGAGGAUGAUCCGCCACACUGGGACUGAGACACGGCCCAGACUCCUACGGGAGGCAGCGGUGGGGAAUUUUGGAAAAGGGGGGAAACCCUGAUCCAGCCAGGCCGCGGGGAUGAAGAAGGCCUUGGGGUUGUAAAGUACUUUUUUUAGGGAAAAAAAGUCAGCUGGGAAAAAUGGCUGAUACGGACGGAACCAAAAGAAAAAGCACCGGCUAACUACGU